rnacentral:lncRNA from 10 species
UUUUUAAGUAGAGAGAGGGUUUCACCAUGUUGCCCGGGCUGGUCUGGAGCUCCUGGGCUCAAGAGAUCCUCCGGCCUCAGCUUCCCAAGUUGCUGGGAUUAUUGGCGUGAGGCACUGCACCCGGCCCAAUCUAAAAAUUUCAUACACCAACCCACAACCUGAUGUCCCAUGUCCCUCUGUCCUGCUCUACUUUUCUCUCCUUAGCAUACCCUACAUUUGGCUCUUAUAAUGAGGAGACUUUUUCUCUAAUGUACCCCACAG